GUACAAUAAUCCAGAGAAUAGUGCACUUUAGAUAAUAAAUAGGUGGAUCUCACCAAAUUGGAUAUCCAGAUGGAUUAUAGCCUUAGUAGCAACUGGAAAGAAUGAAGACUCUGUGAAGAAUGGAGAAGUGUCUAUUGGAGGGUUUUUUAAACCUGCUGAAUUCCUGUUGUGCGCUGAAAAGAGGACUCAAUAAAGGUGUCAGAUGUGGUCCUCGUAUGUCACCCUCAAAGUCGUUGCUGCUGUGUAUCAGAUCGGAGUUAUCCGCAAUGAGAGUGCCGUCACAGUACAUGGGCUGCGCGCUCGGGACAUCCACGUCCCUUCGUAGGCCCCUG